rnacentral:rRNA from 1 species
UACGUAGGGCGCGAGCGUUGUCCGGAAUUAUUGGGCGUAAAGAGCUCGUAGGCGGUGUGUCGCGUCGGCCGUGAAAACCUGGGGCUUAACUCUGGGCGUGCGGUCGAUACGGGCAUCACUAGAGUUCGGCAGGGGAGACUGGAAUUCCUGGUGUAGCGGUGAAAUGCGCAGAUAUCAGGAGGAACACCGGUGGCGAAGGCGGGUCUCUGGGCCGAUACUGACGCUGAGGAGCGAAAGCAUGGGUAGCGAACAGG